GCCGGGCGUGGUGGCUCACGCCUGUAAUCCCAGCACUUUGGGAGGCCGAGGUGGGUGGAUCACCUCAGGUCAGGAGUUCAAGACCAGCCUGACCAAUAUGGUGAAACCCCAUCUCUG
rfam:Gorilla gorilla gorilla genomic chromosome, chr16, whole genome shotgun sequence